rnacentral:SRP_RNA from 1 species
AGUGGUCCUCGGCGAGUUAUGCGAGGCGCAAGGGGUCAGGUCCGGAAGGAAGCAGCCCACGUCGGAAUUGGCGUCGCCGGGGAUCAUGUUC